AACACAUGCAAGUCGAACGGAUGAGAGGAGCUUGCUCCUGGAUUCAGCGGCGGACGGGUGAGUAAUGCCUAGGAAUCUGCCUGGUAGUGGGGGACAACGUUUCGAAAGGAACGCUAAUACCGCAUACGUCCUACGGGAGAAAGCAGGGGACCUUCGGGCCUUGCGCUAUCAGAUGAGCCUAGGUCGGAUUAGCUAGUUGGUGAGGUAAUGGCUCACCAAGGCGACGAUCCGUAACUGGUCUGAGAGGAUGAUCAGUCACACUGGAACUGAGACACGGUCCAGACUCCUACGGGAGGCAGCAGUGGGGAAUAUUGGACAAUGGGCGAAAGCCUGAUCCAGCCAUGCCGCGUGUGUGAAGAAGGUCUUCGGAUUGUAAAGCACUUUAAGUUGGGAGGAAGGGUUGUAAAUUAAUACUUUGCUGUUUUGACGUUACCGACAGAAUAAGCACCGGCUAACUCUGUGCCAGCAGCCGCGGUAAUACAGAGGGUGCAAGCGUUAAUCGGAAUUACUGGGCGUAAAGCGCGCGUAGGUGGUUUGUUAAGUUGGAUGUGAAAUCCCCGGGCUCAACCUGGGAACUGCAUCCAAAACUGGCAAGCUAGAGUAUGGUAGAGGGUGGUGGAAUUUCCUGUGUAGCGGUGAAAUGCGUAGAUAUAGGAAGGAACACCAGUGGCGAAGGCGACCACCUGGACUGAUACUGACACUGAGGUGCGAAAGCGUGGGGAGCAAACAGGAUUAGAUACCCUGGUAGUCCACGCCGUAAACGAUGUCAACUAGCCGUUGGGAGCCUUGAGCUCUUAGUGGCGCAGCUAACGCAUUAAGUUGACCGCCUGGGGAGUACGGCCGCAAGGUUAAAACUCAAAUGAAUUGACGGGGGCCCGCACAAGCGGUGGAGCAUGUGGUUUAAUUCGAUGCAACGCGAAGAACCUUACCUACUCUUGACAUCCAGAGAACUUUCCAGAGAUGGAUUGGUGCCUUCGGGAACUCUGAGACAGGUGCUGCAUGGCUGUCGCCAG
rnacentral:rRNA from 2 species